AUUGAACGCCGGCGGCAGGCUUAACACAUGCAAGUCGAGCGAGCGGCGGACGGGUGAGUAAUGUCUGGGAAACUGCCUGAUGGAGGGGGAUAACUACUGGAAACGGUAGCUAAUACCGCAUACCAUCAGAUGUGCCCAGAUGGGAUUAGCUAGUAGGUGGGGUAAUGGCUCACCUAGGCGACGAUCCCUAGCUGGUCUGAGAGGCGGACGAGCAACACUGGAACUGAGACACGGUCCAGACUCCUACGGGCGGCAGCAGGGGGGAAUAUUGCAAAAGGGGCGAAAGCCUGAUGCAGCCAUGCCGCGUGGGUGAAGAAGGCCUUCGGGUGGUAAAACACUUUCAGCGAGGAGGCGUUACUCGCAGAAUAAGCACCGGCUAACUCCGUGCCAGCAGCCGCGGUAAUUC
rnacentral:rRNA from 1 species